UGAUUUGGCGUUUUGGUUUUUCUGAUGAGCUCUAUGUUUUCAUUUGUUCUUAGGAAGGAGAGGGAUGAUGAGGUUUGGAUUUUGUUCGAUCAAAAAGGUGUUGGGGUGAUUAGCGUGAUCUUCUCUGUUUCUUUCUGUGUUCGUUCUUGGCUGGGCUUUUGGCAUCUAGAGAUUCUUCGGUGUGUGAUUGAUUUGGGGUAGGAGAGGCAGAGUGAUUGUGGAGGAAAUGGAAGAAGAAUUGACAGCGAAAGAUUAACGGAGAGGAGAGGAAUCCUUCUUGCUUGAAAGAAGGAGAAGGAAGAAGAGAGGAGCUUUUGUUUGCUUGAAAGAAAAGAAGUGGAAGGGAUUUGAAUAAACAAAAACGGGAGGUGGUAGUAUUGCUCUGUUCUCUGAUUUUUGGAUUGUUGUUCUUUGCUUCCUUGAUGCAGUUGCCUUUCUCUUGAGGGUCUGUUAGCAGAAUAUCAGAAGAGAUCAGAGACGAGAACUUCUCCCUCUUGCCACCUGUCCUAUCUUUCAAGAUCAGCAUUGCAGAUUAGCAUAGAGAGAGCUUGAACAACAACUUCAACUUCAGCUAUUACUUUCAGUGAGAUUUCAGAGAGAGACGGCAGGCAGCUA